GAUGAACGCUGGCGGCGUGCCUAAUACAUGCAAGUCGAGCGAACAGACGAGGAGCUUGCUCCUCUGACAUUAGCGGCGGACGGGUGAGUAACACGUGGAUAACCUACCUAUAAGACUGGGAUAACUUCGGGAAACCGGAGCUAAUACCGGAUAAUAUAUUGAACCGCAUGGUUCAAUAGUGAAAGACGGUUUUGCUGUCACUUAUAGAUGGAUCCGCGCCGCAUUAGCUAGUUGGUAAGGUAACGGCUUACCAAGGCAACGAUGCGUAGCCGACCUGAGAGGGUGAUCGGCCACACUGGAACUGAGACACGGUCCAGACUCCUACGGGAGGCAGCAGUAGGGAAUCUUCCGCAAUGGGCGAAAGCCUGACGGAGCAACGCCGCGUGAGUGAUGAAGGUAUUCGGAUCGUAAAACUCUGUUAUUAGGGAAGAACAAAUGUGUAAGUAACUAUGCACGUCUUGACGGUACCUAAUCAGAAAGCCACGGCUAACUACGUG
rnacentral:rRNA from 1 species